GACGAUCGCUGGCGGCGUGCUUAACACAUGCAAGUCGGACGGUAAGGCCCUUCGGGGUACACGAGUGGCGAACGGGUGAGUAACACGUGGGUGAGCUGCCCUGCACUUCGGGAUAAGCCUGGGAAACUGGGUCUAAUACCGGAUAGGACUCCUGCCUGCAUGGGUGGGGGUGGAAAGCUUUUGCGGUGUGGGAUGGGCCCGCGGCCUAUCAGCUUGUUGGUGGGGGGAUGGCCUACCAAGGCGACGACGGGUAGCCGGCCUGAGAGGGUGACCGGCCACACUGGGACUGAGAUACGGCCCAGACUCCUACGGGAGGCAGCAGUGGGGAAUAUUGCACAAUGGGCGCAAGCCUGAUGCAGCGACGCCGCGUGAGGGAUGACGGCCUUCGGGUUGUAAACCUCUUUCAGCACAGACGAAGCGCAAGUGACGGUAUGUGCAGAAGAAGGACCGGCCAACUACGUGCCAGCCGCCGCUGUAA
rnacentral:rRNA from 1 species